GCAAGAUGGCGACUUUGAGUACUGCUACCACUGUUUCCCUGUGAGCUCAGCUAGCAUCAAAUUCAGUUGUCUUUGCUUAUGAAUCCCUUCGAAAGAAGAACAUUUGCAGAAAAACUGCAAGUAAAAAAACUCGGAGCAGAAAAGCCAGAAGUGAACAUAACCCAACAAGAAAGAGCAAAGGAUAGAGCCUACAAGAGAAGUUUUACCAGAGUUUGCUUUAGGCUUGGCUAACUAGUUGUGGGUAUGCCAAUGCAAUUUUUUGCUUUCCUUGUAUACUUUUUAAAACAAGUGCGUGUGAUAGUUCGUGGACACAGACAGGGUUGACAGACCUGAAACAUCUGUCGGAACGGAUAAAAAAAAAAACACGAGCGAGCAAGAGUGCAUAUGAACAACUGUGUGAAGCUAGCCAUGCUAGAGGAACCAACGCCCCCAACACCUAGAGACCCAUGUCAGGCUCCUGAAGACCCCGCCGGAGGAGAGGCCAGG
ensembl:lncRNA